rnacentral:rRNA from 1 species
GAUGAACGCUAGCGGCAGGCUUAACACAUGCAAGUCGAGGGGUAACAGAUCUAGCAAUAGGUGCUGACGACCGGCGCACGGGUGAGUAUCGCGUUUGCAAUCUACCUCUAACUGGGGGAUAGCCCGGAGAAAUUCGGAUUAAUCCCUCAUAAUAUCAUAAGAAGGCAUCUUUUUAUGAUUAAAGCUCCGGCGGUUAGAGAUGAGCAUGCGUACCAUUAGCUAGUUGGUGAGGUAACGGCUCACCAAGGCUACGAUGGUUAGGGGGUCUGAGAGGAUGAUCCCCCACACUGGUACUGAGACACGGACCAGACUCCUACGGGAGGCAG